rnacentral:lncRNA from 1 species
GCUAAUAAUUUUGUAUGCCAGUUCUCAGAAAUGGAAUUUGCUGAGGUUGGCCCUGUGGCCAAGUGGUUAAGUUCACGCACUCUGCUUCACCAGUUCCGAUCCUGGGCUCAGACCUACACACCACUCAUCAAGCCAUGCUGAGGAGGCAUCCCACAUAGAAGAACUAGAAGGACCUGCAACUAGGAUAUACAGCUAUGUACUGGGGUUUUAGGGAGAAAAAAAAAAGAAGAAGAAGAUUGACAACAGAUGUUAGCUCAAGGCCAAUCUUCCUCACCAAAAAAAAAAAGAAGAAGAAGAAACAGAAUUUGCUUUUAUAACCAAAUCUGCAGUGGAAUAAGGCUUUUUCUUUUCUCUAAUUUAGAAGAUAUGAGGACUCCGUAAGACUCGACUACUUGGGGAAGAUUCUCCCUACUUUCACCCUCUUCCAAAUGAGCAGGAGAGAAGAAACAGCAGCUUCAAUGCAGAAAGGAGGGGGCCAGGAGAUGGGGGAGCCCAGCUGCCUUCAUGGGCAUGUACCCUGUGCAGUUUCAUGGAAAGGCUAUGGCCUGCUUUAAUUCUCUGCUGUUGUUGUCUUGAAAUUCUUCAUAAUUUUUCAACAAAUGGUCCCACAUCUUUAUUUUGCUCUGAGCCCCUUGAAUUAUGUCGCUGGUCUUGUUGGGGAGAAUCUUUGAAGAGAGCCUGUGACCCUUCCACGGUCUGACCUGGUGUGUGUUGGCUGACUUGAGCACUGACCAAGGUCAUAUUUGGUCAGAGAUCUUGACCCAGAUGCCACAGACAGAGAAAAAUUUGAUGCUACUAAACUGUGUGGCAGCCAAAGAACAAAUUGAAGUGAUAAAUACAUAUUUUGUGAGUGAGCCUUUCUGAACUAAUAAAAUAUUUGAUUCAUUAUUCCUCCUCUGAAACUCUGUGUAACUUAACCUGAAAGGACAGCCUGGAGGUUAUUAUGCUUUUAAUGCUAACCGACAAUUUGCUCAGCCACCAAUUUUCCUCAAGAAGCAUUGCCAUGGUGAAUUCUGUCACACCUGCCAAUCACUUCUACACUCCAUUCAUUUACCAGAACUUUUCCUAUGCCAUCGGCUUCAUCAGGGGCCCUGUGACCAGAACGCAGCACUUCUUCUCCACCAUCUUAAGCCAGGAGUGGAUUAAGCUGGAGACCCUGACUUGGAGUGGCCUGUCUCAAUGCUUUCUCCAUCACCAACACCAUCCAGUAUCACAUCUUUCACUUACUGCCCAGUGCUUCAGAAGGGCUUCGAAAUGCACUAAAUGCUCUUCUACAUAACUCCAAAUAGGUUAUUAUGUUGUGAGCUCAUUUGAGUUAUGAUUCCCAAUUCCAUUUAAAGACAAUAACUUAUUGGCUCAGCAUCAACCCAGCAUUUCAGUUUAUCCACGGUUACCUUAUAACCAGGGAUAAUGAGUCACUGCCUGUUAUGGACUGAAUGUUUGUGUACCCCCAAAAUUCGUAUGUUGAAAUCCUAACCCCCAGUGGGAUGGUAUUUGGGAGGUAAUCAGGGUGAGAUUCAGUCACGAAGGGCCCUCAUGAUGGGAUUAGUGACCUUAUAAGAAGAAGAGGAGACACGAGACCUCUCUCCACGCUCUCCACAUGUGAGAAUACAAUGAGAGGAUUGCUGUCUGCAAAUCAGGAAGUGAGUUCUCACCAGACACUGGAUCUGCUGGCACCUUGAUCUUGGACUUCCCAGCCUCCAGAACUAUGAGAAACAAAUGUCUGUGUUUAAGCCACCCAGUCUGUGAUAGUUUGUUAUAAAAGCUCGAGAUGACUAAGACACUGCACUUGCUCAGUUUCAGCAAGGCUUCCACCUUCUACCCAAAUUUAACCAUACCUCUCCUCUUCAUUGGUCUCUCCUUGGUUCACUGAUCGAUGUCCCAAAUUUUUACUUUGAAUUUUUUCCUGGCAUCUUGAGUCUAUUUCAAAAACUGAUGUUUUUUUGUUUUCUACUGGUCCUCCCUGAUGGCAGUUGCCUGUCUUCUGGUACUUCUUUGGAUUUCCUCAUUAUCAGAUAUUGCCCAAUCUACUGACCCGCCCCUGUGGGCAGGUAUCCUCAUCUCUGGGCCUCAGCUAUAGCUGUCUCAUCUACAUCUCUAUUAAUUAAGCACCAAUUAUGUGAAAUAACUGACAAGCUGAGCUAUUGAAAUAUUCGGCAUUAAGCGUGCCUAAUGUCAACCUUAGAUGGAUGAUCCUCACACUGCCUAGAAUUGGGAUUUUAUCUAAAAUAUCUAUUUCCCAUAAAUCAUGAUGUAAAACAAAUACACAGUGCUCUGCA